rnacentral:tRNA from 1 species
GACCGCGUAGCUCAGUUGGAAGAGCAUUGGGCUAGUAUUCCAAAGAUCGUAGGUUCGAAUCCCACCGUCGCCG